rnacentral:rRNA from 1 species
AGCGAACGCUGGCGGCAGGCUUAACACAUGCAAGUCGAGCGGGCAUAGCAAUAUGUCAGCGGCAGACGGGUGAGUAACGCGUGGGAACGUACCUUUAGGUUCGGAACAACACAGGGAAACUUGUGCUAAUACCGGAUAAGCCCUUACGGGGAAAGAUUUAUCGCCGAAAGAUCGGCCCGCGUCUGAUUAGCUAGUUGGUGAGGUAAUGGCUCACCAAGGCGACGAUCAGUAGCUGGUCUGAGAGGAUGAUCAGCCACGUUGGGACUGAGACACGGCCCAAACUCCUACGGGAGGCAGCAGUGGGGAAUAUUGGACAAUGGGCGCAAGCCUGAUCCAGCCAUGCCGCGUGAGUGAUGAAGGCCCUAGGGUUGUAAAGCUCUUUUGUGAGGGAAGAUAAUGACGGUACCGCAAGAAUAAGCCCCGGCUAACUUCGUGCCAGCAGCCGCCGCGG